CCUACGGGAGGCAGCAGUGAGGAAUAUUGGUCAAUGGACGCGAGUCUGAACCAGCCAAGUCGCGUGAGGGAUGACGGUCCUAUGGGUUGUAAACUUCUUUUGUAGGGGAGUAAAACUGGGUACGUGUACCUGUGUGCAUGUACUUUAUGAAUAAGGAUCGGCUAACUCCGGUCCAGCCGCCGGGGUAAUACGGAGGGUUCGGGCGUUAGCCGGAUUUAUUGGGUUUAAAGGGAGCGUAGGUGGGUAGUUAAGUUAGUUGUGAAAGAUUGCGGCUCAACCGCAGAAGUGCAGUUGAUACUGGCAGGCUUGAGUAUAGUUGAGGUAGGCGGAAUGCGUGGUGUAGCGGUGAAAUGCAUAGAUAUCACGCAGAACACCGAUUGCGAAGGCAGCUUACCAAACUGCGACUGACGUUGAGGCACGAAAGCGUGGGUAUCAAACAGGAUUAGAUACCCCAGUAGUC
rnacentral:rRNA from 1 species